CAACAUAAUUAACUGUUUAGAUGCUGGCUUCCAUUUGUCCUUUCCCAAUCAUUCAUCAACGCCAGUUAACUGUUGGCUUCCUUUGUUUAGCCUCCAUCUU